rnacentral:lncRNA from 1 species
CCAAAGUUUGUCACAACAGAAAAUUAGAAAGUGUCUUUUACAUCUUCUCUGUAUGUUUUUCCAGCCUGAAAAUUUUCUGACCCACCAGUCUCUGGAAAGCUGCUGCUCCUAUAAAGAUCACCUCAAUUCCAGGGGGUCUUCUGACUUGAGGAGAAAACAACCUGGUGGGUGCCUCAAGCCUGCACUGUCCAUGAGAACCGUCAGGGAAUGGAGCAGAGGAGAGCUGGACCAUCGAUGCUUGUAA